rnacentral:tRNA from 1 species
GCGCCUGUAGCUCAGGUGGAUAGAGCAACUGCCUUCUAAGCAGUAGGUCAGGGGUUCGAAUCCCUUCAGGCGCG